UUAAGGGAGCCAGCCCAGCCCUUGGGACAGUCCCACUACCCACUGCGAGUCCAGGAUGGGGGCUUUGCAAGGGCCCCUGCUGUCCCUCCUGCUGGGGCUGCUGCUCACAUCUGCCCCAGAGGGUCUGGGAGCCAACCCAGGCCUGGUUGCCAGGAUCACUGACAAGGGCCUGGCAUACGCGGCCCAGGAGGGACUGUCAGCUCUACAGAAAGAGCUGCAGGAGAUCACGCUGCCUGAUUUGGAUGGGGACUUCAAGAUAAGCCGCAUCGGCCGUGGGAACUAUGAGUUCCACAGCCUGGACAUCCGCAGCUGUGAGCUGCGCAGCUCUGCACUGAAGCCGCUGCCCAGCCAUGGCCUGAGUCUCUCCGUCACCGACUCGUCCAUCCACGUGCAGGGCAGGUGGAAGGUGAAGGUGCACAGGUUCCUGAAACUACAAGGCUCCUUUGACCUGCAGGUCAAGGGCAUCACCAUUAUUGUCAACCUCCUGCUGGGCAGCGAGCCCUCGGGAAGACCCAUGGUCACUGCCUCCAGCUGCAACAGCCACAUCGAGAAAGUGGAGGCGGACCUAUCAGGGGGCUUGGGGUGGGUGCUGAAGCUCUUCCACGACCAGAUUGAAUCCAGGUUCCGCAGAACUUUGGAGAGCAAGAUUUGUGAAAUAGUUGAGGAAUCAGUGACCUCCGACCUACAGCCUUACCUCCAAACCCUGCCGGUCACAGCGGAGAUUGACAGCUUCUUAGAUGUUGACUACAGUUUAACAGAAGCCCCUCAAGCCACAGCCCAGAUGCUGGAUGUGAUGUUUAAGGGAGAAAUUUUCCAUCAUGACCACCGCUCCCCAGUUGCUCUUCUUCCUCCCGUCUUGAGCCUUCCAGAAGAUCACAGCCAGAUGGUCUACUUCGCCAUCUCCGACUACGUCUUCAAUACUGCCAGCCUGGUUUACUACCAGGCCGGGUACAUGAACUUCUCCAUCACAGACGAUAUGAUUCCGCCUGACUCUCCCUUCCGACUAACCACCAAGUCCUUUCGAGCCUUUGCUCCCCGGAUAGCCAGGCUGUAUCCCAACAUGAACUUGGAGCUCCAGGGAGGAGUGGUCUCUGCCCCACUCCUAAACUUGAGUCCUGGGAAUCUGUCCUUGGCCCCCCAGAUGGAGAUUGAGGGCUUUGUGCUCCUGCCAGACUCUGUCAGAAAAUCUGUCUUCCGGCUUGGUGUGGCCACUAAUGUAUCUGCCACGCUGACCUUCAACAGCAGCAGGAUUACUGGGAUCUUGGACCCUGGAAAGUUACACGUGGAACUGAAAGAAUCCAGAGUAGGUGUAUUCAAUGUGGAGCUGCUGGGAGGCUUCCUCAACUACUUCAUGGUCAACAAUGUCUACCCAGAGGUCAAUGAGAAACUGGCCCAAGGAUUCCCCCUACCUCUGCUAAAGCGUAUUCAGCUCUACGACCUUGUUUUCCAGAUCCACAAGGACCAGCCCCCCGCAGCUGGGAAAGCUGGACGCGGCAGCAACCUCCAGGAGCUGCACUAUCCCACCAAGCCAUCCCAGGUCCUGUGGACAUGGCACCUCUACUGGGACAGCAGGACUAUGGUGAAGCUCUGAGACCCUCCCACAGGAGAGCUGCAGGGACCUCAAAACCAGCUCAUUUUCAGAAUAGGAACCAACUUGCCAGCAGGACUUCCUGUUCUUGGGUGCCAAUGUCCAGUACAUGAGAGUUUGAGGGCAAGAAGAAAGAGGGAUCUUGGAGGCCACAACUGGAUCUGUACAUACCAGAUGUACUGCGCAUCCCUGGAGAUUCUCAGAGGACAGAGAUAAGGACACUUCUUUCUCAGCUCUGGGGUGAGGUCUGCCUGGCCCCUGCUCCACACACCUCCACACCCAGCCCUCUCAGACCCCAGACUUUACACUCUGCUUCAGCAUGGACCGCCUCUCCCAGCUGACCUGUGACAUCUUUAAGAGCACCCCAUUUUUUUAUUCACUAUCUGAUCUCCAUGUCUAGCCAAGUGCUAGCACUUAGUAGGUCCGCAAUAAAUAUUUAUGGAAUGACUUGUGAAUGAA